GAGGAUUCAUGUCAGAGUGGAGCAUGUUCAGCCUUCAAGGUGCACUGAGGAAUUCAAACUGAGGAAGAUAAAGAAUGAUCAGCUCAAGGCAGAGGCCAAGGCAAAGGGUGAGGUGAUUAGCACAAAGAGGCAGCCUGAGGGCCCAAAACCUGGUUUCAUGGUCGAGGGUGCGAUGUUGGAAACGGUUACUCCCAUUCCAUAUGAUGUUGUUAAUGAUCUCAAGGGUGGCUACUAGAUCUACUCUGUUUUUUGGUUUAUUCUUGGCAUAACUUAAGUAAGCUUUGUUAGUUAUUUUGGAUGUGUUGUUUACGUUUUGUAGUUUAUUUUGAAGAGUUACUGCUUCUGCAAAGAUUUUAAUCUUAUCAAUCAUUUUAUUUUAGAGAUAAAUGGAUCCCUUUAAUUGCUUGUGCAUUACGUUUUAGUUCCACAUUAUAGUUCUACAUUACUAUUAAACUAUGUGGUCAACUUGAAAAUACCAAAAAAAUCAAAAUUUAAAUCUUAAUAAAAAUUAUGUAAAAAAAACAGUUUGAACUCAAGAAAAUAACAAAAAUUGGGAUUCAACUCUUGCGUUGUUGAUUGGAUGCAAUUGUCAUGAUUAUGUUUAUUAAAUGAAUUGCACUUCAGUUGCCUAAUGAAGUAUAUUUUGUAUGUUUGUUUCUCUUUUCUAUGUUCUUCAAAUUGAUAGCUUUUGGUUUGGUAUCACUAUGCUUUCCAUGCAUAUCCAAAUAUUUGGUAUCAUUGGGCAUAUAUACAAAUAUUGAUUUUUUCCCUUUUAACAUUUCUUUAUAACAAAUUUUGAAGUAACAACUGGUCUGUUCCUUUUAGCAUGUUUUUAAGAUAGUGACUUUAUGCAAAUAGGAUUAUGUUGUAUGUAUCUUGACUCUUGAAUAAAAUGGUUUUUUUUGCUAUAUCAUUUUUCUUCAAGUUUACUGCUUUGUUGUGAGACUGGAACAAGAUGCUUUUUACAUUAAUUUUUAUUCUCCCAUUAUGCUUUAAAUGUCUUAUCAUUUUUUUUUGGUAUAAAUGUUUAAAUUAGUGUCUUGUUUUAAUUGGUUUUUUAUAUACCAACAAGGGAAAAGAGUUUCAAUUUGCAUAUACAUGUGAUUUGAAUGAUUGUUUCUUUUUAACGUUUGUGCAAAUGAAUUGAUGCUCAUGCACGUAUACUUAUUGAUAUGUUGUGUAAUGCGUGACAUUGGUGAGUUUGGAUGCUUUGAAUUUUAUGAAUGUAUUGAAAGAAUUAAUACGCUAUUUGCAAGUAAAGUUGAGCAGUACCAGAAGCAGUGCCAACUUCUUCACGCAUAAAUGAUGAAUAAUGUAGAACAUAUCGAUAUGUUUACAUAGUUCGAUUUUUCCACGUCAACAUGAUCUUGCCCAUAGAGAUUAUCUAUUAACUUAAUACCUCGAACAAAAAGUGAUUACAAGUUCUAAUACUCACUAGAUUAGAAUCAUACUUUUGCACUUAAGAUCUAGUUCACUCACUUCUAAGUUUUUAAGUUAGAACUGACAUUUCAUGCAUUUCAAAAAAAAAAAAAAAGCUCAUUGAUGAACAAAAAUAAGUGUUCUUAGACCACCUAUACAAGUUAGAGGUGCUCAAGAGUUAGGUCGGGUUCAAACAAAAUUUUAAGCUCAUUUGCUAGGUUUGACUCAAUAAAUAGGCUUAAAAUUUUGCCCAAAUCUGGCUCAUAUAAAAUGUUAAAACCUGGGUUGAGCCCAAAUACUGUCAAGCUCGAGCUUAACCCAAAUUUUAGAGGUCGAUACUCAGCUUGAGCUCGUUCAAACAUCUAGUUUUAAGCUCGAGCUUGGCUCGAGAUAUAAUCGAGCUACUCAAUUUUGAGCUUGAUUAAGCUCGUUUACCAAUUUUUGUUCUCGAGCUCGAUUUGAUAAUUAAGCUUAGAGUUAAUAAUAUAUAUUAGGGGUAAUAAAGUAAUUUAAUAAUAUAAAUAACAAAACUUGAUAAGGCUCAUGAGCUGUCUGAAUUAAGUAUUUCUAAACUCAAAUUUAGUUCAAGCUUAGCUCAAUACUUUCUAAAUCGUGUUCGAUUUUUUUAAAAUUAAACUCGAGUAACUUGCUUGUAGUAAUGUUUCAUUUACACCCCACUCAACCUAACUUGCUGUACUUGAAUAACUUUUCUUACUGAAUUUCAGGUUUUAAUGGGCCUAUUGCAAAAACAAGACAAAAAUCCAAAACGAGAAAUCUACAUAUUAGAUGGGCUUUUAUGCCCGGAUGAGCUCCAACAAUGGCGGAUCUGGUCCUUCGUUACCAAUCAUUCAAACACUGAAAUAGAUAUCAAAGCCCAAACCCAAAAAUGUCGAGAGAAAAAUAAACCUGACCAAAAAAGCGACUAUAAAAGGAUCAUAGUUAGGGUUUUAAUCGUCCCUACAGCUCAACGCCUCUCUCUCUAUCUUCUACAAGCCGGCGAGGGAAGGAAAACCUGAGAGGGUGAAAAAUGCCAGCUGGUCACGGUCUCCGAUCUCGGACUAGGGAUCUGUUUUCCAGACCCUUCAGAAAGAAGGGUUACAUCCCAUUGUCCACUUACCUCAGGACCUACAAGAUCGGUGACUAUGUUGACGUCAAGGUAAAUGGCGCCGUUCACAAGGGUAUGCCCCACAAGUUCUACCAUGGCCGCACUGGUCGUGUCUGGAACGUCACCAAGCGCGCCAUCGGCGUUGAGGUCAACAAGCAGGUACUGUUUGGGGGGUUUUGGUGUACGAAUCGUUUUGGGGGUUUUCAGUUUCAUUUUUGCUUGAUGUAUUAUGUUUAUUUGUACUUUGGUUUUCCAUUUCACUGUUAAACGAUUUAUCCAACUAAGUCCCAAUACAGCAUUUUAUGUGCAAUAAGUUUCAUGUUUCUGAAUGUUGUUUGCUGAUAUUUGCUAUGUGGUUGAAAUUGUUUAUUCUGAUUAUACGAUUGGAUUUGUUUCUCCACUUAUAGUAGUCUGCUCGGUAUUUAUGUUAGGAAAAUCCAUUUAGAAAUAUGGCGUGCUGCUAUUUCAAAGUUAGAUUUUCUUGUAUACAUGAUGUAAUUAGUGUGAAUGCUGUUCGCCUGCCUUUCAGCACUAGUGUAGCUCCUUUUUGGUGUUGGAGUUGCCACUGAAGGGGAAUAUAUAUAGAAUCACUCUUUUUGGAUGAGCUUAAUUUGUAUAUUUCAAUAAGAUGAUUUAUCAUGUUGAUUAAAUGUGAUGCACACCCCAGCGUUUCAGGGGUGAUCAUGUGAACAAUAUUGCAAUCUUUUCACUUUUUUGCUAUAGGGCUUUUUUAUAUUCAUUGCCUGGCUGAGUUUUCAAGCUUGUGCUUUGUAUGGGAGAUUGGCAAGCUUUGUAAUUGUUGUAUUAAUAUGCUUGCCGUUUUCAGGUUGGUAACCGGAUUAUAAGGAAGAGGAUUCAUGUCAGAGUGGAGCAUGUUCAACCUUCAAGGUGCACUGAGGAAUUCAAGCUGAGGAAGCUGAAAAAUGAUCAGCUUAAGGCAGAGGCCAAGGCAAGGGGUGAGGUGAUUAGCACAAAGAGGCAGCCUGAGGGCCCAAAACCCGGUUUCAUGGUCGAGGGUGCGAUGUUGGAAACUGUUACUCCCAUUCCAUACGAUGUUGUUAAUGAUCUCAAGGGUGGCUACUAGAUCUACUCUGUUUUUUUUUUGUCUUGCCGUUUUUGGUUUACCCUUUGCAUAACUUAAGUAAGCCUUGAUAGUUAUUUUGGAUGUGUUGUUUUCGAUUUGCAGUUUAUUUGAAGAGUUACUGCUUUUGAAAAGAUUUUAAUCUUAUCAAUCAUUUGAAUUUAGAGAUAAAAGGAAUUCC
rnacentral:lncRNA from 1 species